ACUCCUACGGGAGGCAGCAGUGAGGAAUAUUGGGCAAUGGGCGCAAGCCUGACCCAGCCAUGCCGCGUGAAGGAUGAAUGCCCUAUGGGUUGUAAACUUCUUUUGUACGAGACAAAACUUCUGGUCGUGACCGGGAUUGAUGGUAUCGUACGAAUAAGCAUCGGCUAACUCCGUGCCAGCAGCCGCGGUAAUAC
rnacentral:rRNA from 1 species